CAUUAGAUGACUGAAAGUAAGUACUGGUCUCUUAAACCAUUUAAUAAUAGGUUAACGUCUAUUUCUAAUGA
rnacentral:tRNA from 1 species